rnacentral:lncRNA from 1 species
UGGAGGAAAUAUCAAUUACUCUUUGGGAGCUUUGCCUUUUCCAUGCUCUAAUGCACCUGCAUCUUGGUUGGUUGUCUGAAUGUUCAGAAUUUAUGCUUGAGCUCACUUGACGGAUGGAUGGUAAAUUAAUCUAGCUUUUGUGUUGCGGAAGAAAGACAGGGCGCAAGCUGUUUUAAGUUAGGUGAACAUUGCACACCACCACAAGUUUGGUCACUUAUGGUAACAAGUACUCCCUCCGUUCCAAAAUAGAUGACCCAACUUUAUACUAACUUUAGUAUAAAGUUGGGUCAUCUAUUUUAGAACGGAGGGAGUAUUUAGGUUCACAUUUAAAACGUCUUAGCAGGAACAGAUGUCACUGAAGCAACUUGAAAAUUAUUCGAUACAGCCAAAAGUUUUGCAAAAUCAGACACUUUCCAAACAAAGAAGCGCCAUUUCAGCACAGGUUCUGAAGACUACAUGUAACAGGAAGUGUUCCAUCCUGCAUUAGCAAGUAGGAGAAAAUGUCAAGG